rnacentral:rRNA from 1 species
CAUGGGGGAGCCUUAAAAGGCGGCGGAAGUCGUCACUUGCAGAUGGGCCCGCGGCGCAUUAGCUAGUUGGUGAGGUAAGGGCUCACCAAGGCGACGAUGCGUAGCCGACCUGAGAGGGUGACCGGCCACACUGGGACUGAGACACGGCCCAGACUCCUACGGGAGGCAGCAGUAGGGAAUUUUCCGCAAUGGGCGAAAGCCUGACGGAGCAACGCCGCGUGAGCGAGGACGGCCUUCGGGUUGUAAAGCUCUGUUCUUCGGGAAGAACGGCGGGAGAGUGAACAGCUCUCUCGUUUGACGGUACCGAAGGAGAAAGCCCCGGCUAACUACGUGCCAGCAGCCGCGGUAAUACGUAGGGGGCGAGCGUUGUCCGGAAUUAUUGGGCGUAAAGCGCGCGCAGGCGGCCGAUUAAGUCAGGUGUGAAAGGCUGCGGCUCAACCGCAGAGUUGCAUCUGAAACUGGUCGGCUUGAGUGCAGGAGAGGGGAGCGGAAUUCCCGGUGUAGCGGUGAAAUGCGUAGAGAUCGGGAGGAACACCAGUGGCGAAGGCGGCUCUCUGGCCUGUAACUGACGCUGAGGCGCGAAAGCGUGGGGAGCGAACAGGAUUAGAUACCCUGGUAGUCCACGCCGUAAACGAUGAGUGCUAGGUGUUGGGGGCAUCAGGCCCUCUGUGCCGAAGGAAACCCAAUAAGCACUCCG